AUAAUUUUUCCCUGACAAAGCCCUAAAAAGGGAGAAAAAUCACUUUGUAUAGUAUGUAAACGUUUCUUUAAUUUACAAAUUAUACAUUUACUGAGGAGGUUCUGUAACUAUGGUAACCAGGGUUCCCGCUCCCCCACUGUUAUGACGCAAAUGGUUUAGUCCACACGGUCCGCACCUGCACUACUUUGAUUACAGACCGAGUAUGUUUUGAAACCAGUGGCCCUUAGAAACGACCUGAAGCUGCUGCCCCCACUCGCUAUCUGAAGAUGUUAGCCUACUGAAGUCAGCAGUCAAGGUACUCAAGCUUCAGCAUGACGACACUCACCUCACCACGACUAUCAAAGAGGGCAUUCUGAACUACUUAAAUGACCAGACCACCGAGGAGGUGCUUGACAUGGCUGCUCUUGUUGACCCUAGGUAUAUUAACGAUUAGAGGGUGGACUACAUGAAGGCAAGAGCUACUGCAGAACUGAAGAGCCUGGUGUCUGAGCAGGCAGUGGCAGCAGGCCCCCCUUCCAUUAGCUUCAGCCACUACAGAUGAGUCAGAGGUUCCUGCUAAGAGGCAAAAGAAGAGUUUGAGCAGCUACUUUAAAAAAGCAGCAAAGCAAGGCCAAAUGGCCCCUCAGUCAAGCAGAGAGUCCAAUGAAAAGGAGCUCAACCUCUGUCUCCAAACCAUGGAGGCUGCUCCAGAGACAAACCCACUGGAAUGGUGGGGGCAGCAUGAGGCACAUUUCCCACUAGUGGCCAAGCUAGCAAAGCAAUACUUGUGCAUCCCUGCCACAAGCGCACCAUCAGAGCGGGUGUUCAGUACAAGUGGGAACACUGUGAUAUUUAAGAGGUCAUUACUUAAACCAGAAGGAGUUGACCAGCUUGUAUUCCUGGCUCUCAACCUGUAGAACUAACCCCCUGAGAUUGAGCAACACAAGGCAAACAUUUUGAAGCAUUGCUGCCAAAUAUCUGUUCUUCUACCACUUUGGUUGUUUUCAUAUAAUGCUAUAAUUCAAACUUGAGGGAAUGUUUUGUUCACUUGUUGUAUUUUACAUCUUGUGAGCCUUAUUUUGCUGCUAUAGUUUAAACUUGAAAUGUUUAUAUUUGGUAUUUUAUAUACCAAUAUUAAGCCUGUAUUUAUUUUUGUUUGCUUCUGCAAUUCAAACAGUUCUAUUUGUAUAGAAUAUUAUGUUUGGUUUUGAUAUUUUUGACCAUGUUCCCAUUUUAGGCCUAUAUUUAUUUUGUAUGCAACUACAGUUGAAAAGUGUUUCCCAUUUACCUUUUUUUAUUUUAUACAUUAACAUUUUGUAUUUUGUUACUUGCUUAAUUGAAAGUUUGCAGAAAGUUUGCAAAAUUUGCAGAAAGGUUUUAAAUAAAA